rnacentral:rRNA from 1 species
UACGUAGGCAGCGAGCGUUGUUCGGAAUUACUGGGCGUAAAGAGUGUGUAGGCGGUGUCCCCAGUCUGUUGUGAAAUCUCCCGGCUUAACUGGGAGGGUGCAGCGGAAACUAGAAUGCUAGAGGGUGGGAGAGGUAAGCGGAAUUCCUGGUGUAGCGGUGAAAUGCGUAGAUAUCAGGAGGAACACCUGUGGUGUAGACAGCUUACUGGACCACUCCUGACGCUGAGACACGAAAGCGUGGGUAGCAAACAGG